CCUUUAACCCCCAGAUCCCCACCCAAGCAGCUUGAAGCAGCCUCCUGCUGACGUAUGACGAUCAACUCGCCUGUCAGGUUUAGAUUCUGAGUUUAUCCUGAAACACUGGCCAUCCUGGGCUUUUUUUGGCAGUCGAAGAGGAGAGGGAACUGAAAACAAAAUGAAGAGAUCAGCCACUCAGAGUUUCAGCUGCAGUGACUCUGGCAUGACAUCCCCACAGGACCAGGCCCCAGAGGAUUGUCUGUACUUGCAGCUACAUGAUGCACUGACUCAUCAAGCGUCCGCUGCUCUUACAGUCAACAUUCACGCUCACCUUUCCAAGUAAACAGGCGGCAGCUUCAAUUUACUGAAGAAACAUCCUCAACAUUCACCAGCUGCUAAUGGAAAUAAAUCGAUUGAUGCUAUAAAUGGUUCUGGUUAAAGUUUUGAAAGGCGGUUUAAGACAUUGUUUCCCCCCCCACAGCAUGUUGCCAUUCUCUGGAAACCAGGGAAAGUAUUUGGUGCUGCUUUGUUACUCGUAGGCGAGGCAGCGGGUUCAGUCAACUAUUUCAGUCUGAUGACACGCCCUGCCGAUCGCCUUGGUAACAUAGGCGAUCGGAUAAAACCUGUUUUGUUGAAGGUUUUAUCUCCCGGCCCAACUCAUGUUUGAUGCUGCAGAGAUUUUGUUUCACUUUUAAUAAGAUUCCCAAACUCUUACGGAAACAACCUUAAACUCUUUCUGUGAUAAAAAGAUUUAAAACAGAAGAUUACAGCAAAAGUAAAACUAAGAGUUGAUCUGGGCUUAAAUGUUAUUUUCUAUCCGUCCUGCUGUGUUUCGAGUCUUAUCAGCCGGGUUAUAGUUAAAUACUUGGUCAGAUUGUGAACUUCACACUGGACUUUGCUCUCUUCUAGUUAAUAAGUGAUGCCUUCUUUUCACUCACAGUUCUUUACCACCAGCACUACAACUGUAACACAGGGGCCUAGCUCUGGGAGAAACCCGCAUUUCACACUCGGCGCCUCCCACCCGUCUUGUUAGGCAACAGAAUGACUUCAGGAGGCUUCUUCCAAAAAAAAAACAAAAAACUGCCUUCACAGUAAAACCAGGAAUGCGCAUCAGUGAAAAGCUGCCAGAGAGCAAGUUGCGACAGACAAAGCAGACGUGGAUACGUUCCAGCUUUCGCUGCUGAAACACUGGUGUGACAUUCCACGCUAACGCUGCAUAUUCGAUCCGUCCGAGAGCGACGCUUCUGCAGCAAAAACCAUAAACAUCUCUCACAGUUUCACCACUUUUAUUUUAGACUCCUCUGACUCAGCCGUCAUGUCAAAACUGCUGAAAUGAUCAGAUAAGGGGACAUCUCUGCUGUGACAAAAGAGAUGAGUAAGGCUGCUGUCAGUGGUGAGAACAUGCAGUUCUGCCCCCAUCCCUCAGGCGAGUCGAGCAGGGAGUGUCUCCGGAGCAACAACAGGUUCCCGAUAAGGGUGCGGCGGAGGAUUGCGUGGGUGAAGGUGAAUACACCUUCAGGGAAUAUCAACAUUUCCUAACAUCUUCCAUUCGUUGAGGUUUGCAGGUUGCCAAACGGCCGGGGAGAGGAGUGUGGUAACGAAAACCAUUCAGGCACAUCUAAACUUCGCUGUCCUAAGCUCUUCUUUGUGUCGCAGCAGGAAUAAAUCAGGUUCCAGGGCCCCCGGGAUGAACUCUGCUCAUAUUCCAGUCGUAUUCCUAACAAGCUCCAAGGAGUUUGUGCUGAUCUCUUAUUUAGGUUUAAUCCUUUCUGGCAGGCAGGGUGGCAAGAAAAACAUCUGAGAUGUUGCUUGUCUCUCUGGUAGACUUUAUUCACUUGCUUAAGAGCAUUAGGCCCACACAAAUCUAAUAAAGCAAAAAUAAGUUUUAGGAAUUACGCUCAUUUGUCUUUUUGCCAACAACUACAUGAGAAAACUUAUCCCUAUUUGGACUCGCUUGCAGGCCAGCAGCCAACUAGGCUACCAGAGAUCAGCAUGUCAG